rnacentral:rRNA from 1 species
UACGUAGGCAGCAAGCGUUGUUCGGAGUUACUGGGCGUAAAGGGGUGUGUAGGCGGUUGCUUAAGUUUGGUGUGAAAUCUCCCGGCUCAACUGGGAGGGUGCGCCGAAUACUGAGUGACUCGAGUGCGGGAGAGGAAAGUGGAAUUCCUGGUGUAGCGGUGAAAUGCGUAGAUAUCAGGAGGAACACCGGUGGUGUAGACGGCUUUCUGGACCGUAACUGACGCUGAAACACGAAAGCGUGGGUAGCAAACAGG